rnacentral:rRNA from 1 species
CCUACGGGAGGCAGCAGUGGGGAAUAUUGCACAAUGGGGGAAACCCUGAUGCAGCGACGCCGCGUGAGCGAUGAAGUAUUUCGGUAUGUAAAGCUCUAUCAGCAGGGAAGAAAAUGACGGUACCUGACCAAGAAGCCCCGGCUAACUACGUGCCAGCAGCCGCGGUAAUACGUAGGGGGCAAGCGUUAUCCGGAUUUACUGGGUGUAAGGGGAGCGUAGACGGUCCUGCAAGCCAGAUGUGAAAGCCCGGGGCUAAAGCCCGGGACUGCAUUUGGAACUGUAAGGCUAGAGUGUCGGAGAGGCAGGAGGAAUGCCUGGUGUAGCGGUGAAAUGCGUAGAUAUUAGGAGGAACACCAGUGGCGAAGGCGGCCUGCUGGACGAUGACUGACGUUGAGGCUCGAAAGCGUGGGGAGCAAACAGGAUUAGAUACCCCUGUAGUC